rnacentral:rRNA from 1 species
UACGGAGGGUGCAAGCGUUAUCCGGAUUUACUGGGUUUAAAGGGUGCGUAGGUGGGUUGGGAAGUCAGUGGUGAAAUACUUUCGCUUAACGAAGGAACUGCCAUUGAUACUAUCAAUCUUGAAUGUAGUGGAGGUAGGCGGAAUGCGUCAUGUAGCGGUGAAAUGCUUAGAUAUGACGCAGAACACCAAUUGCGAAGGCGGCUUGCUACACUACUAUUGACACUGAGGCACGAAAAGCGUGGGGAUCAAACAGG